rnacentral:sRNA from 1 species
CCCCCCCUUCCUUUUCAAUCCAUGUUAUUCUGUGCUUGCGUAAUCUGAUCUAGACGUUCAUUAGAGAGAUUCAACAGGAUUUUUUAAUCCCUUGAUUUCAGUAAACAAACUAUUACUAUUACAUGUAUUUUCAUGACACAAUUAUAGACAUAUUGUUAACUCACAGCUUGAUUCACUAACUGUGACAAGGGAAAUAACUCAGUUUGUUUCUAUAAAGAAAAAAACCCAGAAAAGGGACUAUCAGGGACCAUUCUUAGUGCUUCAUCUGCUGAGUGUUAAAGUUGCGUCCAAAGGGAGUUUGGAUUCUGUUCUUCUGGCUGAAUUUCUUGCUGUGGCGAAGUGUAGUCUUGUUGUGUCUAUCUAAGCUGCCUUUAGAGAGAUGGAGAGAUUCUUUGCGUUGCUUGGAACGCUGAGCAGAUUUCAGGGCCUCGGCCUGGGCAAGAAUCCCACACCGAGCGGCCACAGCAUUGGGUCGCCUCGGGGCCUGUCGGAUUACCUGCCCUUGACUGUUUCUUGGACGGAGACCCUUUUUGGCCACAAUGUUAGAUAUACUGUCCGUGGAAGACUCGGAGAGAUUACUGUCCUCCCCGGAACUUCCUCGGGAGCAGUGACUGUUGUAGACAGACAUACUGGGAUGUUCGAUCAGGAGGUUCUCCAUUUCUGUCAUUGGAACUUGGGACAUUGGGCCGCCUGCAGUAAAACAAGGAGGUGGGGUUAAAAUCCAACUUUCAUGCAUACGCAGAAAGAACCUGGAGUUAGGCGUGGAGGCACCAGACGUGCUGGGCGUGCCAUGGCCCAUACCAGUGUCGCUGUCACUACUAUAGGGGGAGUGACCCGAGACUCGACAGACUGUUGGAACAGUGACACACGUAGUCUUAUCUGCAAGGAGAAAUUCUACUUUGCAGUUCUGCUUCAGUUUACUUUCUAGAAAUCUAUCUUGACCUCAACAUCAUUGAACAUGAAAGCUGCAUUCAGAGAGUACUAGCUAGCUAUUAUUUUCAAUUUGAAAU